AUGGACCUCGUGGGCAGGCACGUGCAACAGCGCUGGUUCCUCCUCUUUCUGGUGGCAGCUCCUGGAUGUGUUCUGUCCCAGGUACAGCUGCAUCAGUCGGGACCAAGCCUGGUGCCACACGCACAGACGCUGUCCCUCACGUGGUCUGUCUCUGGAUUCUUUCUAACCACCUAUGCUGUGGACUGGGUCCGCCAGGCCCCUGGAAACCGCCUGGAUUGGAUUGGCAGUAUGUGGAAUAAUGGAGAAACACGCUAUAACCCAAGUCUUCAGUCCCGAGUCAGAAUCUCCAAGGACAACUCCAAGAACCAAGUUUACCUAAAACUGAGCAACUCAGUAACUGAGGACACAGCCGUGUAUUCUUGUGCAAGACGCACAGUUUCAGCAUGA